CAUCCACCAGAGGGAAUCACACACUGUUCACGACAAUCAAAGUUGUUGAGAGAUCCUCCAGAGAUGAUAAAGAGGAAGGACCAAUGAAGUGAAGGCCCAGAUCCAUCAGAGUAUCAAUGCUCUUCCUCUCUCUCCUCCCCUCUCACUGCAGACAUGAAACACUGGCUGACUAACAUCCUGAUUCUGACUCUCUGUCUAGAGUGUAAAGGAGAAGACAGAGUAAUCCAGCCAUCAGAAGAUUUCAUUACUACUGAAGGAGAGACAGUUACUCUUGACUGUACAUUUGAGACCAGUGACACAUAUCCCUAUUUGUUCUGGUACAAACAAGAAGUAAAUGAUUUCCCAAAGUAUAUGCUGAAGCGUUACUCAAACACAAAAGAAAAUGCUCCAGAGUUCCAGAAAGAAAGAUUUGAUGCUACAAUCAACCAGACAGUUCCUCUGAAGAUCCAGAAGCUUCAGCUGUCUGACUCUGCUGUGUACUACUGUGCUCUGCAGCCCACAGUGACAGGAAAC